UCAGUCAGUGGUGUGUUAAAUUCACAAAUUCAUUAUCCUGCCCAUUGCGUGACGAGAAUGGUCUAAAGAUGGCCCGUAUAUAUACAAUAGUCAAUGUUAUCUUAAAUGGAAGAAAGAAAUUAUGGACUUCUUUCAAGAAAGCCAGUGUAACUCCGGAUGCCAAAUAAAAUCUUAAGGAAGUUUUUAUAAACAAACUGGCACAACCAAUAUACAACGAGAACGUGUCCCAUGAUUGUGGGAUAUACAGUCUGGCUUCAAGAGAGAACACUCGAAAGGAAGAGCCAAAAUAACACAGUUUCUGCUGCUGUUCGUAUUGGGAAGUAAAAGUCUAAACAAAUCGUUUAGUAAUUCCUACCGUUCAGAAUGAUGAAAAGGACACCAAUAUAUAAAAUUCGAAGCAAGAGUACAGGAACCGAAGAAUUCAGUAUACACAAGAGGUCAUUAAUAAGGAGGAUCAAUCAGUAAUGAUCAACGAAAAUAAUCAACAAUCUCGUGCUAAUAAGAUAAGUACUUCCAAAAGUCUGUGUCGAUAUCACUGCUAUGCGUUUUGGAAAGGUCAUUUUAUUAUACAAAAACCUCAUUUAGCUAAGCAUAUUUUUCUUCACUAAACCUAAGAGAUCCCGCACUAGAAAUAGAUAGUUCUGAAAAAAUUAUUACAAUAAAAUGCCAUUUUUUCAAUGAGAAAUAGGUUCAUAUAAGUGAUUUUACAAACUUCAAUUAACUUCAUUUUUGGCGAGUUGCUUUGUUUUCUGAAGAAGCAGGCUCCUGGGAUGAAGUUAUGAUGGAAUCGCAUUUUCAAAGUUUUCAACAGGGUUUUUCUAAGAAUUUUUAGACGAAAGUCCUACAUCUGAAUUAUUAAAUAUAUUUGAGUAAUUAAAAUAUAUGUAUCAUAGCUCAGUUGUUUUGUUAUAAUUUUAAAUAUAUAAAACAGUAGUGUAAGUAAAAAGUAUAAAAAUACAAUAUCCAAUUCAACAAUUUAUAAAACGGAGCAGAUUAAAACAAACGUAAGAAAAUAAAAAAUGUUAAAAUGCAAUUAAAUAUUGAAAGGUUUAAAUUAUACUUAUUAUUAUUUCUAAUAAAUUAUUCUAGUAUUUGUCACAUACAUACCGACAUACGUAGGUGCAAGUUUAGACAGAAAGUGGCACACAAAUAUUUGAAAAGUAAAAUAAAAUAUAAAAUAUCUAAAUUAUUAGUAUUGUACUCAUUCGAGUUUAAGUCAUUUGUUUCUUUGGUAUUAUAUACUCAUUUUUCAUUAAAAAAUAUACAUUAUAUAAUAAUAUUUGUUCCUAUUCCAAAGCGGCCUGCUUAAGUCGUUCCAUCGAUAUUAUGUAUCGAAGAGACAUUGCUUAAAAGACUACACACUGCAUACGAAGGUUUUCGCGUAAAAUAAUAGUAGUCAUAGAUAUAAUCAGUAAAAUUCGCAAUGUCAAACCAUUUGAUAUUAUUAAUCUCCCUUUAUGUUAUGGGUCUGAAAUUAAUAUCAGGAAAAUCUCUUAUCAGUAAAUAUCUGUAAUUAUCCUAAAUUACAUAAUACAAAAUUAGAACAAAAUUCUCAUAUGUAUUAUGUAUCGAGUAAACGGUGCAGACCUAGUAACAUGCUUCUAUAUUCUUUGCAUAAAAUACAUCUCAGAUACAGACUUUCGUAUAAUAGUCAUAGUGGACGCACUCAGCAAAACUGACAAUGUCUAAUCAUUUGAUAUUGCCAAUUUCUUUUAGUGUCGUUGGUGCGACAUUAAUAUCAAGGAUAUUUCUUUUCAGAGAAUAUAAUAAUAUAAUAUAAUAAUAGUACAUAAUAAAAAACUGGUAAAUAAAAAAGUAAAAAUAUGCUUCUUGACAUAGCUCUGUAGAUGUUUCAUAAAAUGUUCCUCAGAUACGAAAGUUUUCUUGUAGUAGUCGUCGUGGAUCCGUGCAUCUCUUACCUUCUUCCCAGACUUAAAAUAAGAAUGUUAAAAUAGACAAAUACACAAAUGUUACUAUAUCUAAAAUGUUAUUAAAAUACAAUAUCAAGACACGAAUUUUUUCAUUAUUCUAUAUAUUUAUAUUACAUUAUAUAUAGGUCUUAAGUUUCCGCAUUGGUGUAACAUAUUUAAUACCGAAGAAAUAGUGAAAAUCUAGAAACAAUGUGUUUCUUGACAUACACCUGCAGUCUUUGUGGCAGUCGUUGAGCAAAAAGAUGAAAAGAUGCGAAGGCGUCGUGGUCAGUAAAACUGUCAAUGUGAAACCACUCGAUUCUACUAAUUUCCCUUUGAGUUAUUGGUGCAAAAUUAUAUAUCAGAAAUAUUUCUACAGAUAUCAAUAUCAAUAUCUGUAAUUAUUCUAAAUUAAAUAAUAAAAAAUUGGAAAAUAAUAAUCUCAAAGGUAUUAUGUACAGGAGAUAUAUUUUAUUAUUUUAUUUAUUUAUAUGAUAGAAAAGAAAUAUUUAUUAAAAUUAGUGUUUUUCUUCUCUUUCUUUUUCUUAUGUUCAAGUUCUUCAAAUCAUUGAAUUGCAAUAAUUUUUAACAUUUUCAUUUUUAAACUUGGAUAUAGGAGAAUUACAAAUUUUAAAUUAUAUUAUUAUUCAUGUUUUAAAACUGUUUGACGUAAGUUUUAACUCAUAUAAUGUUAAACUAAUUCCCCGUAAUUAUUAUCUCUUCAUUAACACCUCGGUAUAAUACCAGUGUGCGUUUUCAAUAUCGAAACAAAUUUUAUAUUUCUUGUUAAGGGAAAUUUCAGAACUAAUUCUACCAGAUUUCCUAUUAGGUACGACGUGAUUCUCGUCGUACCCAUCUUUUCUCCACAGUUGCUGUCACCCAUCUAAGGUGGAAUGAAAACGUUUUUCAUCCGAAAAUAUUGUAUUUUGUCAGUUAAUUUAAGUAUUCUUGACUAAAUUCCAAUAUCACACGUUUAUCCACAUCAUUCAGGGCUACUUUCUGUGCAGGACGUCUGUUAUGGAAUCCUUCUCCAUGUAUUAUUAUUUUAUUUAUAUAAAAAUAGACAUCAAGGAUGUCCUUAUCACGAAGUAUCUUAUGCUUCUACGACUUUCUUAACCUUCGAAUGACAGCGAAAGGACCAGUUUCCCGUUAAUGUUGAAACCUCCUCCCCAAUUUCUUCUCGAAUAGCGCAAGGUCUAGUAAUUUCAGAUUCAGUAAUUUUUAGUGAAUCAAAAUAUAUUUUAUUAAUAUUUUCAAUUACUAAAUUCACCCAUAACCUCUUAAUUUUGGUAAAAUAAGUCUAGAUUACAUCGUUAAAAGCGAAUAAAAAUUUAGUAAUACGUUUAAAAUGAAUUGUGUCUGAAAAAAGAGGAAAAUAAUCACCUAAAUUUUAACGAUAUUGGUAAUAUGUAUUAGUAAUUCAUAAUUAUAACAUUUAUAUAGUUAAUCUAUUACUAAAUAUAAUCUAAUAGAAAAAAGAUUAAAAAGUAAAAAGCUAUUUGUGUCUCUUCAUGCAGAUUUCAAUAAAAUUAAGA